AUGGCCCAGUACAGCCCAGUAUGCCCCAGUAUGACCCAGUGCCUCCCCCGCGGACACCCCAGUAUAAACCAGUACGAAGCACUACAGCAGCCCAGCUGGGAGCUCCUGCGCCUCCGUCGCCCCGGGCCAGACCAGUUUGGACUGGGAAAGGGGCCAGGACCCAACUGGGAGCCCCGCACACGCUGCGCCCGCAGUCAGACCAGUAUGGACCAUUAUGGACCAGUAUGAGAUCCCAACUGGGAUCACUCCAUCGGCACAGCCAGAACUACCCCAGUGCCAACCAGUAUGGACCAGUACAGCACCCAACUGGGGACUCUUCACCCACGUGGCCUUGUGUCCUCCCAGUACGGACCAGUACAGACCAGUACGGACCAGUACAGCAUCGUGCCCAGGAUUUAUUUCUUCACCCGCGUGGCCUUGUGUCCUCCCAGUAUGGACCAGUAUGGACCAGUAGGGUGCCCCAGCUGGGAUCUCAUUGCACAAACGGGUCCUCCCAGUAUGGACCAGUACAGACCGGUUCCCACGCCCCCCGGUUGCUUUCCCCCCCCUCUUUAUUUAUUGCCCCCCCCCCCCCCCCGCGGGGGGGGGUGGGGGCGAGGACACGGAGCCNNNNNNNNNNCCCGUGACCAGUCUGCAGCCUCCCAGUAUGGACUGGGAGGGUUCCAGUGGGACUGGGGCUUGGGAUCAGCCUCCCAGUUCCUACUGGGAAGGGGUGUGGGGCUCCCAGUUCGCACUGGUCAUCUCCCAGUAUAGACUGGGAGCGGGUACGGAGAUCACAGCCUGUACUGGAAGGGGAGAGUUGUUUCCAGUUGGUCCCAGUCUGUCCCAGUUGGUCCCAAUCCCUCCCAGGAGCCUUCCAGCCCUCCCAGUCCCCCCAGUUCCCCCUUCCCAGUUCCCCCAGUCCCUCCCAAUUCCUCCCAGCUCCUCCCAGUUCCUCCCAAUUCCGUCCCUGUGUCUGCCUGUGCUUGCAGACAGGCUGCUCCCAGUUGGUCCCAGUCUGUCCCAGAUGCUCCCAGCUGGCCCCAGUCCCUCCCAGCUCCCCCAGACCCCCCGGUUCCUCCUCCCAGUUCCUCCCAGUCCCUCCCAGCUCCUCCCAGUUCCUCCUAGUUCCAUCCUUGUGUCCGCCUGCGCUUCCAGACAGGCCUCUCCCCGUGCCUCCCAGUCUUUACCAGUGUCUCCCACUUGCUCCCAGUUGGCCCCAGUCCCUCCCAGCCCCCCAGCCCCCCCAGUUCCCCCUCCC
rnacentral:lncRNA from 1 species